rnacentral:rRNA from 1 species
GAUGAACGCUGGCGGCGUGCUUAACACAUGCAAGUCGAACGAAGCACUUUUAAACUUUCGGGUUUAAAAGUGACUGAGUGGCGGACGGGUGAGUAACGCGUGGGUAACCUGCCUUAUACAGGGGGAUAACAGUUAGAAAUGACUGCUAAUACCGCAUAAGCCGAUAGAGUCGCAUGACUUAGUCGGAAAAGAUUUAUCGGUAUAAGAUGGACCCGCGUCUGAUUAGCUAGUUGGUGAGGUAAUGGCCCACCAAGGCGACGAUCAGUAGCCGGCUUGAGAGAGUGAACGGCCACAUUGGGACUGAGACACGGCCCAAACUCCUACGGGAGGCUG